UGGGGGAUAUUGCACAAUGGGCGAAAGCCUGAUGCAGCGACGCCGCGUGGGGGAUGAAGGCUUUCGGGUUGUAAACCUCUUUCGCUAUCGAACAAGGCCCGCUUAGGGUUGGUUGAGGGUAGGUGGAGAAGAAGCGCCGGCUAACUACGUGCCAGCAGCCGCGGUAAUACGUAGGGCGCGAGCGUUGUCCGGAAUUAUUGGGCGUAAAGGGCUUGUAGGCGGCUUGUUGCGCCUGCUGUGAAAACGCGGGGCUUAACUUCGCGCGUGCAGUGGGUACGGGCAGGCUUGAGUGUGGUAGGGGUGACUGGAAUUCCAGGUGUAGCGGUGGAAUGCGCAGAUAUCUGGAGGAACACCGAUGGCGAAGGCAGGUCACUGGGCCAUUACUGACGCCGAGGAGCGAAAGCAUGGGUAGCGAGCAGG
rnacentral:rRNA from 1 species